AUUUUGACAGCGAAAAUUAAAAAGAAAACAAAAUACAAUUUCUGCGAUUUAAAUUUUAAUUAAAUCAAAACAAAAGUGAAAAUUAAUAAAAACAAAGUUGUUAAUAGUAUUCCUGAUUAACUGUUUUAUCUAUAUUAUAUAAAUAAUUUCAUACAAAAUGAUCCAGAGUCAACUAUUUCAUCGAUCUAAAAAGUGACUUCAUCAUAUCCGAAGAAGUAUUUCCCUACGUAACUUGGCUCUAGCUGAUAGAGGAUUCUUUCAGGAUCUCUUUGCAGACACCGCUGGUCCAGAAAUGGCAAAACUUUUCACAGGUAAACAACAAAACAAUCUACGCCGGCUUUGAUCCAGCUGCCGAUAGUCACACGUUGGCAAUCUCCUGGUAAUAAUUGGACUUCUGCAUGGCAUCGAGAAAGACACAAUCCAAUUGCGUUUGUUGGAAUACGGGUCUUAUCAGUAAUCCUAGUGGCAAAACAAAACGAAAUAAAGGGUUGUCGGUCAUUGAGACAAAUUAGAGUCGUCAACAAUGCAUCAUAGUACGAAAAUCUGAAUGUAGUGGACUUUGUUGCCAAUAUGGAAAGACACUUUCGAAUGGGAUUACUGCUCUCAAUAUCGUCAGUCCAGUCGCGACUUAAUAGUGCAGCUGGAAUGAGCUUUACCGAAUUCACAUAACAAAUUUUCCAGGGUUAUGACUUGUUGCUUCAGAAAUACAAUUGUCGCUUUCAAAUGGGAGGCAGUGAACAAAUGGGUAAUUUAAUGACUGGCCACGAACUAUCAGCAGAGUAGAAAAAAAGAAAUCAGUAUUUGGAUUGACACUUCCAAUUGUGACCAACGAAGGAGAAGACAAGUUCAGAAAAUCUGCUGGCAAUGGUAUUUGGCUGGACGAAGAAAAAAGUAGCCAUUUUUUCUUUAUCAGUUCUAUUUGAAAAUGCCAGAUUCUGAAGUCGAGAAGCUUCUCAUUGAAGAACACAAAAAAUUACCAGAGAAGAGAAAAGCACAAAGAAGAUGUGACGCUUCAAGUCUA